CUGUUCGCCAGUCCCAAUCCCAUCGCCCACGGCAAAAAGCUAUAAACCUACGCCUCUGGCUCCUCUGGCUCUACGCCUCUACCUCUUCAGCUCUCCUGUAUCUUCCUCCUCUGCUCCUUGCCUCCUCAUCGUCCUCCUCUUCCGCAGUUCUGCUUCACCGUCUUCACCUUCGUCGUGAUCAACAAGGGCGUCGGCGAGCGGGCGAGGUCAUCUCCGGCCGGCCACCGGGGUUACAACUUACAAGGAGUACCGCCGACCAUGGCUAGUCCUCAGUCCUCACCUCAUCGUCCUCCUCUUCUGCUUCUGUGCUUCACCGCACCGUCUUCGCCUUCGUCGUGAGUCCACUCUGUACCAUAAAUUCUAAAUCCCUAAUCCUGUUACAUAUUGGAAAUGGAAGAUCUCUCCGUGGAUUUAGAUCUUGUCUCGUUGGAAAAUGGAAAGCUGAUGUGUUUGGAGUAUAGCUUAGAGCCUCAGAUCGUUCGAGCUUUAGCUUUCUUGAUGGUUUUGUUCGGAAAUAUUUUUUUUGCUUUGGAGAGCCCAUGUGAGGCAUUUUAAUACUCGUUCUCCUGGGAGAGAGAGCUCAGAGAGGUGGGUAGCUGUUGGGAAAGUUUAUUCAUAGAAAAAUAAAUGGCAUUUAUCUCGCAUGAUAUACAAUGCUCUCUCUCUCUCUCCCUUUCGCCGAGAGCAGAGGACAACAGUCGAAUAUCCCUCUCUCUUGGGGGGCUCCAUCCACAAUGAAAAAAAUGGUGAUAGAUCUGUUCCUCCACUCUCUUCUCCCUUCUCGCCCUUGGACCGUUGUUUUCUUUCUAUUUUUUUAGCGUUUUCGGUCGUAUUUUUCUUCCUUGAGAACUCUUUUAAUCUUCUCUUUUUUUUUUUUUUUUUUUUUUUUUUUUGGUACAACGGCGGCUCACACCCUACGGGUGUGGAUACGGCCUGCAAAAUCUGAAGCAAGUAAAGCUGAAAGGGAUUCCGGCACUGUGUCGGAAUCCCUCAAGAUAAAAUCCCCGGUGUGAUGAGCCGCAUAGGAAGCGACCCAAUCAGCUGCACAAUUCGCUUCCCUGUAAACAUGUGUAGCCUGGAAGGUAUCACACGCCUGCAGAAGUCUGCGAACGUCCAGAAGCAGCGGUCUGCCCUCACCUGCACGAUCUCGCUUCCCUAGCGUCGAGGUUGUGAAUCCAAAGGCGUACCCUUUGGCCGAUGCUCAGCUGAUGAUAACCAUACUGUAUCUCCGAUCUCGUCCAGCAAGCAGCGAACUAAAAGCAGCUCAAGAAGAAAACUAAUGAAGUGACGAAGACUCUGAACAGGGGCAUCUCCGAGUUUGUUGUGAUGGCGGUGGAUACAGAGCCACUUGAAAUUCUUCUACAUCUUCCUCUGCUUGCACAGGAUAAGAAUAUGCAGACGAAGCUGCUAUGAUACCCAAAAAUACAUCAGUAUUGAUUUGUCGCAUCCCAGGACGGCCAUGGAAGCCCAUUGUUACGGAACGAGAUGAGACAAAAGUUGUAGAGGAUAAGUUAGAAGAUCUUCCACCAGCAAGUAACACUUUGGUUGGCGACCCAUCUACCAUGAAAUAUCCUGAAGAAUCUGAAUGGGAUGAGUUUGGUAAUGAUUUGUAUGCUAUUCCAGAAGUCCUUCCUGCUCAGUCAAGCUGUUCAGUGGUAGAUGUUUCUCCUGCAAAUAAGGUUGAUGAGGAUAGCAAGAUUAAGGCUUUAAUUGACACACCUGCCCUUGACUGGAAUCAUCAAACACAAGAAGGUUAUGGUGCUGGAAGAGGCUUUGGUAGGGGAAUGGGUGGGAGGAUGAUGGCUGGUCGUGGUUUUGGCCGAGGUGGGCUGGAGCGAAGGACACCUCCAGCAGGCUAUGUUUGUCAUAGAUGCAAAGUGCCAGGUAAUUUUAUCCAGCACUGCCCCACAAAUGGUGAUCCAAGUUAUGAUGUUAAAAGGGUGAGACCCCCAACUGGCAUUCCUAAAUCAAUGUUAAUGGCAACUCCUGAUGGUUCCUAUGCAUUGCCUGGUGGUGCUGUUGCUGUUCUUAAGCCAAAUGAGGAUCUGUCCGAUUUAGGCAUCGUGGGUAUGAACCAGGGGCAUGGAUAUUUGACCAGGUAAGAAUUUGAGGCUAAGAAAGCUGAUCUAAGAUGGAAGCGUGAAAUGGGCCGACUCAAUGAAAGAAUAUGCAGACGAAGCUGCUAUGAUACCCAAAAAUACAUCAGUAUUGAUUUGUCGCAUCCCAGGACGGCCAUGGAAGCCCAUUGUUACGGAACGAGAUGAG